AGCACAAGGCGCUCGUGGCUCCAGACCCUGACACACUCCUCACCCAUCACUGGGCUCAGGGUAGCAUUUCCAACUCCCUCCUCUGAGCAGGAUAUAGGUGGGUGAUGAGCCAGACAGAGAUGCAAGUUGUGCCCUGCCUGGCAGCUGCCCAUGGGGAGCAGAGGGGUCUGGGCCUCCGUGGGGUGCCUGCUGGAGGAC
ensembl:processed_transcript predicted gene 20650